rnacentral:ncRNA from 1 species
ACCGUCAGCAGCUUGAUCCAGAUGCCGAUCAGCGGCAGGUUCAGGAUCACCAGCAUCAGGUUGCCGACCCACAUCGACGCGAUCAGGCCCCAGAACAGCUGCGGGUCGCUGGCCAUCACCUGCGGGCC